rnacentral:rRNA from 1 species
ACCUGGUUGAUCCUGCCAGUGCGGAUAUGCUCAUCUCAAGGACUAAGCCAUGCAUGCCAAAGUUCAAGCCUUAGAAAGGUGAGACUGCGAAUGGCUCAGUAUAUCAGUUAUUAUGAAAUCGAUUUAUAUAGUUUACUACUAAACGGAUAACUGUGGUAACUCUAGAGCUAAUACGUGUAUUGUAAAUGUAUUGUUUACAAUGCAUUUGUAAAGCAUUUAUUUUUUGUGUGAUGCGUUGAUUAAUUUCAAUGCAUUGCCAACCAACAUUGCACCACAAUAUGUGUUUUACAUGUAUUGUGUGUGUAAAAGAUGAGUCUAAAUAACUGAUUGCUGAUCGAUAUAGACAUUUAAUGUCAUCGACAUAUCGAAUCAAUAUCUGUCCUAUCAACUUGUUGGUUGGGUAGUGGCCAACCAAGGUUUUGACGGGUAACGGGGAAUCAGGGUUUGAUUCCGGAGAGGGAGCCUGAGAAAUGGCUACCACAUCCAAGGAAGGCAGCAGGCGCGCAAAUUAUCCAAUCCAGAUAAUGGGAGAUAGCGACAAGACGUACUAAGAUUAGCUUGAAUUUCAAGUUAAUAUUUAGAAUGAACGAAAUUUAAAUACCUAAAUGAGGAGCUACUGGAGGGCAAGUCUGGUGCCAGCAGCCGCGGUAAUACCGGCUCCAGUGGUGUAUCGCAUUGUUGUUGCGUUUAAAACGCUCGUAGUUGGAUUGCAGCUUGUUACACCAGCGGUGUUACAUAUUCGUAAAGAUUACAUGUGUUGUAUGUAAGCUUUUAAAAGUGAAACAUAUAUAAACAGUAAAAACUGAUGAAUAUGUAAUGCUGUGCGUUGUUUUAUGUAAAUGUAAAGCAGAUGUGUACAUAGCUUAAUAUGUUGCAGUGUUGUAAAUUUAUGUCAUCUUUACUGAUGGUAUAAAAAACAGUUUGAAUGAUGUUGUUGCAUCAUUUGAAUUGUACUGCAAUGUUAUAGCCUUGAAUAAAAUAGAGUGCUCAAAGCAAUGCUUAGCGCUUGAAUAUUGUAGCAGGGAACGAAUGUAUUUUUAACCACCAUUAGGUUAGCAGUAAUGUUGGUCUGUGAGUCUAAUAGGUGUCGGUUAAUAGGGAUAUUUGGGGGCAUUGAUAUUUGGCAGCGAGAGGUGAAAUUCUUAGACCGGUCAAAGAUCGACAAUUGCGAAAGCAUUUGCCAAGAAUGUUUUCAUUAAUCAAGAGCGAAAGUCGGAGGAGCGAAGACGAUCAGAUACCGUCGUAGUUCCGACUGUAAAUUAUGCCAACCCGGAUUUGAUUUACUAAAUGUUACAAACUACAUUAGAAAUCAGAUCCACCGGGAAACCUAAAGUUUUUGGGUUCCGGGGGGAGUAUGGUCGCAAGUCUGAAACUUAAAGGAAUUGACGGAAGGGCACCACCAGGAGUGGAGCCUGCGGCUUAAUUUGACUCAACACGGGAAAGCUUACCAGGUCCGGACAUUGACAGGAUUGACAGAUUGAAAGAUCUUUCAUGAUACGGUGGAUGGUGGUGCAUGGCCGCCUCUUAGUUCGUGCAGUGAUCUGUCAGGUCAAUUCCGGUAACGAGCGAGAUCAGCUUUACUAUUUUGGUCGUUUUGAUAACAUAUUCAGAAAUUUAUGCGUAUGUGCAUGCAUGCAUUUCAUGUAUGUAAUAUAUGUCAAUGUAUAUAGUUAUGUGCAAACAUAGCUAUUUAUGUUGAUUAUGUUAGAUGUGUGUAUGUGUGUGUAUGUGUAUUGGUGUAAAUCUGAUUGUAUGUGUCAAUUUACCUUCAUAGUAAGACAACCGGUGUGCUAGCCGGUGGAAGUAUGGCAAUAGCAGGUCUGUAAUGCCCUUAGAUGUUCUGGGCUGCACGCGGGCUACAUUGAAAGUGCCAGCGAGUUAAUCUUUAUCGAAAGGUAAUGGGUAACCUUGUGAAUUACUUUCGUAAUGGGGAUUGAACCUUGAAAUUAUUGUUCAUGAACCUGGAAUUCCUCGUAAGUACGAGUCAUUAGCUCGGGCUGAAUAUGUCUCUGCCCUUUGUACACACCGCCCGUCACCACUUCCGAUUGAAUGAGUCAGUAAGAGCUAUGGAUUAAAAAAUACCUUAAUAGU